CAAGCAAAAGAAUGUAAAAGUUUAUUGGAAAUGUAAUUUGGAAUGUAAUUGUAUUUUGGAAGAAUCAUUCUUGUAUCAAUGUAAAGUGAGAAAAUGUAUGUAGAAUAUGAUUGUACCAACGUUGUAAUGAAAGAUAUGGAUCCCGAGGAUCUAACAGGUAAAUAACACCUAGAGGGGGGUGAAUAGGUGUAAAACGGCAAAAAAAAUAAACCUGAUGCAAAUUAAAAGA
rnacentral:lncRNA from 1 species